CAGGGAUUGCCCUAGUAACGGCGAGUGAAGCGGCAACAGCUCAAAUUUGAAAUCUGGCCCUCUUGGGGGUCCGAGUUGUAAUUUGUAGAGGGUGCUUUGGCGUUGGCCCCGACCUAAGUUCCUUGGAACAGGACGUCACAGAGGGUGAGAACCCCGUACGUGGUCGUCGGUCUUCGCCGUGUAAAGCCCCUUCGACGAGUCGAGUUGUUUGGGAAUGCAGCUCUAAAUGGGAGGUAAAUUUCUUCUAAAGCUAAAUAUUGGCCAGAGACCGAUAGCGCACAAGUAGAGUGAUCGAAAGAUGAAAAGCACUUUGGAAAGAGAGUCAAAAAGCACGUGAAAUUGUUGAAAGGGAAGCGCUUGCAGCCAGACUUGCCUGUAGUUGCUCAUCCGGGCUUUUGCCCGGUGCACUCUUCUGCGGGCAGGCCAGCAUCAGUCCAGGCGGUCGGAUAAAGGCCUUGGGAAUGUGGCUCUCUUCGGGGAGUGUUAUAGCCCAGGGUGCAAUGCGGCCAGCUUGGACUGAGGUCCGCGCAUCUGCUAGGAUGCUGGCGUAAUGGCUGUAAGCGGCCCGUCUUGAAACACGGACCAAGGAGUCUAACAUCUAUGCGAGUGUUUGGGUGUCAAGCCCGAGCGCGUAAUGAAAGUGAACGGAGGUGGGAACCCCUCGGGGUGCACCAUCGACCGAUCCUGAUGUCUUCGGAUGGAUUUGAGUAAGAGCAUAGCUGUUGGGACCCGAAAGAUGGUGAACUAUGCCUGAAUAGGGUGAAGCCAGAGGAAACUCUGGUGGAGGCUCGCAGCGGUUCUGACGUGCAAAUCGAUCGUCAAAUUUGGGCAUAGGGGCGAAAGACUAAUCGAACUAUCU
rnacentral:rRNA from 1 species